AUUGAACGCUGGCGGUAGGCCUAACACAUGCAAGUCGAACGACAGCACAGUAAGUUCUUGCUCUUACGGUUGGCGCGUGGCGGACGGGUGAGGAAUGCAUCGCAAUCUACUUUUUCGUGGGGAAUUACGUAGAGAAACUUACACUACUACCGCAUACUACCUACGCGUGGAAGCAUGGUAUCUUCCGACCUUGCUCGAUUGUAUAAGUCGAUGUCGGAUUAGCUAGUUGGCGGGGUAAAGGCCCACCAAGGCAACGAUCCGUAGCUGGUCUGAGAGGAUGAUCAGCCACACUGGAACUGAGACACGGUCCAGACUCCUACGGGAGGCAGCAGUGGGGAAUAUUGCGCAAUGGGCGAAAGCCUGAUGGAGCAAUGCCGCGUGAGUGAAGAAGGUCUUCGGGUCGUAAAGCUCUGUUGUUGGGAAAGAAAAGAAGCGGGAUAAUACACGGCCGUUCUGACGGUACCCAAAGAAUAAGCAACGGCUAACUACGUG
rnacentral:rRNA from 1 species